GAUGAACGCUGGCGGCGUGCCUAAUACAUGCAAGUCGAGCGAACGGACGAGAAGCUUGCUUCUCUGAUGUUAGCGGCGGACGGGUGAGUAACACGUGGAUAACCUACCUAUAAGACUGGGAUAACUUCGGGAAACCGGAGCUAAUACCGGAUAAUAUUUUGAACCGCAUGGUUCAAAAGUGAAAGACGGUGUUGCUGUCACUUAUAGAUGGAUCCGCGCUGCAUUAGCUAGUUGGUAAGGUAACGGCUUACCAAGGCAACGAUGCAUAGCCGACCUGAGAGGGUGAUCGGCCACACUGGAACUGAGACACGGUCCAGACUCCUACGGGAGGCAGCAGUAGGGAAUCUUCCGCAAUGGGCGAAAGCCUGACGGGGCAACGCCGCGUGAGUGAUGAAGGUCUUCGGAUCGUAAAACUCUGUUAUUAGGGAAGAACAUAUGUGUAAGUAACUGUGCACAUCUUGACGGUACCUAAUCAGAAAGCCACGGCUAACUACGUG
rnacentral:rRNA from 1 species